rnacentral:rRNA from 1 species
UGGGGAAUUUUGGACAAUGGGCGAAAGCCUGAUCCAGCAAUGCCGCGUGUGUGAAGAAGGCCUUCGGGUUGUAAAGCACUUUUGUCCGGAAAGAAAUCCUUGGCUCUAAUACAGUCGGGGGAUGACGGUACCGGAAGAAUAAGCACCGGCUAACUACGUGCCAGCAGCCGCGGUAAUACGUAGGGUGCAAGCGUUAAUCGGAAUUACUGGGCGUAAAGCGUGCGCAGGCGGUUUGCUAAGACCGAUGUGAAAUCCCCGGGCUCAACCUGGGAACUGCAUUGGUGACUGGCAGGCUAGAGUAUGGCAGAGGGGGGUAGAAUUCCACGUGUAGCAGUGAAAUGCGUAGAGAUGUGGAGGAAUACCGAUGGCGAAGGCAGCCCCCUGGGCAAGUACUGACGCUCAUGCACG